rnacentral:rRNA from 1 species
GACGAACGCUGGCGGCGUGCUUAACACAUGCAAGUCGAACGAAAAGACGGAAAGAGCUUGCUCUUUUCAGAAUUGAGUGGCAAACGGGUGAGUAACACGUAAACAACCUGCCUUCAGGAUGGGGACAACAGACGGAAACGACUGCUAAUACCGAAUAAGUUCCAAGGGCCGCAUGGCCCAUGGAUGAAAAGGUGGCCUCUACCUGUAAGCUAUCGCCUGAAGAGGGGUUUGCGUCUGAUUAGCUGGUUGGAGGGGUAACGGCCCACCAAGGCGACGAUCAGUAGCCGGUCUGAGAGGAUGAACGGCCACACUGGAACUGAGACACGGUCCAGACUCCUACGGGAGGCAGCAGUGGGGAAUCUUCCGCAAUGGGCGAAAGCCUGACGGAGCAACGCCGCGUGAGUGAUGACGGCCUUCGGGUUGUAAAACUCUGUGAUCCGGGACGAAAAGGCAGAGUGCGAAGAACAAACUGCAUUGACGGUACCGGAAAAGCAAGCCACGGCUAACUACGUGCCAGCAGCCGCGGUAAUACGUAGGUGGCAAGCGUUGUCCGGAAUUAUUGGGCGUAAAGCGCGCGCAGGCGGCUUCCCAAGUCCCUCUUAAAAGUGCGGGGCUUAACCCCGUGAUGGGAAGGAAACUGGGAAGCUGGAGUAUCGGAGAGGAAAGUGGAAUUCCUAGUGUAGCGGUGAAAUGCGUAGAGAUUAGGAAGAACACCGGUGGCGAAGGCGACUUUCUGGACGAAAACUGACGCUGAGGCGCGAAAGCGUGGGGAGCAAACAGGAUUAGAUACCCUGGUAGUCCACGCCGUAAAC